GACGUAGGGCGCGAGCGUUGUCCGGAUUUAUUGGGCGUAAAGAGCUCGUAGGCGGCUCAUUGCGUCAACCGUGAAAUCCUGCUGCUCAACGGCAGGUCUGCGGUUGAUACGGGUGGGCUGGAGUUCGGUAGGGGAGACUGGAAUUCCUGGUGUAGCGGUGAAAUGCGCAGAUAUCAGGAAGAACACCCGUGGCUAAGGCGGCUCUCUAGUACGGUACUGACGCUGAGACGCGAAAGCGUGGGGAGCGAACAGG
rnacentral:rRNA from 1 species